ensembl:lncRNA
ACACACCAGGUAGCGGAGCGCGUAGUAGUGGACCGCCUCCUUCGGGCCCUUCCUCGCCCUCUACGGCAGGUGGCCGGUAUGCGGAACCCCACCAAUGUCGACGAGCUGGUGGAGGCCAUCGAGCUGGCGGAGGCCACCCAACACCAGGAGCGACGCGUGCCGGAGGGCACCCAGCGACCAGUCUGCAGGCCGGCGGUUCCCGGGCCACAGGAUGAGCCCAUGCCUACCGAAGCUCCCCAUUCCCCUGGACGCGCUUGGCUGGCAGGCUGUACCGUACAGGCGGAACCUCCAAAGCAGGCCCCACGAGCGGAAGUGAAGAUAAAUGGCCGACCGGUCCUCGCCCUCCUCGAUUCUGGCAGCGGGGUCACCCUGAUCAGGCCGACAGUCCUUCCUCCACGGCCGGAACCCAAAGCCAGACUGUCCAUCCCCUGCAUCCACGGCGACACCAGGGAAGUACCGGCGCGGCGCAUCACUAUCACGGCACCCCCAGGUGCCUGGCCAGUGAAAGUUGGGAUCGUCAAGGAUCUGCCUGUACCGGUCCUCCUCGGCAGGGAUUGGCCGGGGUUUGACCGCCUCUUCGCCUCCGCUAGCCAGCCUGUCAGCCCCGCCGGGAACUGCUCCCAGCGCCGGACGACUACGAAGCCCCGACGGCGCCCUGUGCUGCUGGCCUCGGACAGCCCCAGGGAGGGUGAGUCUUCCCGUCAUAAGCCUAACCUCUUUUAUGACGUCUUCCCGCAGGUGGUUGGGGCUGGGGCCUUUGCCCAGGAGCAGCACGAGGAUGACCGCCUCAAACCCUGCUGGGCCCAAGUGAGGGUCGCCGAAGGGAAGGAUCUCCAACCGGCACCCCACCCAACACCGCACUUCGUGGUCAAAGACGGCCUGCUGUACUGUGUCGCACAGCGAAGGGGGAGGAAAAAACCUUGCUGGUAGUCCCAAGGACCAAGACAGGAGCGGUGAUAGAGCUGGCGCAUGCCCAUCCCAUGGCCGGCCACUUGGGAGCUCAAAAAACCAUCCAACGCAUCCGCGGCCGUUUCCACUGGCCAGGCCUGGAG